CCAAACUUGGUCAUUUAGAGGAAGUAAAAGUCGUAACAAGGUUUCCGUAGGUGAACCUGCGGAAGGAUCAUUGCCUGAGGGCGCGUGGCCGAGCGAGCGCGAGCUCGCGGAGCCCGCGCAUUACUCACGAACCCAUGUGAACCAAAGUGACGUGACGGUGGCGCCGCGCCGCGCGUUCUCGCGCGCGCGCGACCCUCCAUCUCUCCUUUUUUACUACUACUAACCACGUUAACCUUGCUUCUCUGACUGAGAUUCAAGCGACCUUAAAACCGUCGCGACCAAACCAAACAUAUCACAACUUUUAACAACGGAUAUCUUGGCUCGCGCAUCGAUGAAGAACGCAGC
rnacentral:misc_RNA from 1 species